UACGUAGGGUGCGAGCGUUGUCCGGAAUUAUUGGGCGUAAAGAGCUCGUAGGCGGUUUGUUGCGUCGGCUGUGAAAUCCCGAGGCUCAACCUCGGGUCUGCAGUCGAUACGAGCAAACUAGAGUGUUGCAGGGGAGACUGGAAUUCCUGGUGUAGCGGUGAAAUGCGCAGAUAUCAGGAGGAACACCGGUGGCGAAGGCGGGUCUCUGGGCCGAUACUGACGCUGAGGUGCGAAAGCGUGGGGAGCGAACAGG
rnacentral:rRNA from 1 species